GGAUCCCGGUGGGCCUUCAGCCCAGGCGGUGGCUCAGCUGCUGGGCUGCGGGCUCCAAAAUUGCGGGACCCGGAUCCCCCACCUCAUGCCUGGCCGGGCCCCAGAACCCCAGGACGCGCGAGAGGGCUUGGGCAGAGUACUGCGUGCAUCAGGCUGCCGGGGCCCGGACCGCGCGUGUUUGUAGCCUACAUUCAGGUCAGACUGGAGCACAGGAAGGGGGCCGCGUCUACACCGGCAGCACCAGCUCUGACAGAUUGAUGAUGAGCAGUUGUGACCCAGCACAGGUAUCCAGAUCUGACCUGGCAUAGGACCGAGCGCCUCACUCUGCAAAGCUGCGUAGGCCUCAUCUGGGAGCUGCGGGAAAUGUGGCAUCCUGGGUCCCACCCCAUUCCUCCUAAACACGGGCCUGCCAAGAUGCCCGAGUGAUUCGUGUGCAUGUCGAGGUUUGCGGCAUCUGUGGCCCCCGGGACUCAGGAAAGUUUAGUAGAACCGAAGUACUAGCUAGAACUCUAGACCCCAGUCUCAAUUUCCCGUAAGAGCUGAUGAUAUAAACCUUAUUCCUGAUGAACAGAACAAACGACCUAAUUUGGAGGGCUCAGUGUGAAGUGAAAACAUGGGACCCCUUUACAAAAAGUUCUUAGAAAAUCCAAGGUAGUGACAACCAACCUGGGGCCCUCUGGACUCACUCAUGCUGGCCAAGAAAAUGUAUAAUUCUGCUUUGUUAAUUGCCAACCAUUAUUAAUGAAAAGGCUCCAACCCCUCAUCCUUUUUGAAGUUUAUUUUUUUCUCAAUAUGCAAAUAGAAAUGGUUUCAAAUGGCUGUUAUUCCAGUGUCAAUAAUUCUUUUAAAAAAUACAAAUAUGCAUGUGUCUAUUAAAAUGUGAACGGAAGCUCUAUAUCGGGAAGGACAGUUUGUGCUCAUGUUUUAUUGACAGUGUACAGAUUUUGAUAUAUUGCAUGACAAUACUGACUGCUAGAUUUCUUAUCAAGAGUUAGUUUAUAUUUACUCUAGGUUUUUCUUCACAAUAAAAAUAAACUCAUGCCAGUGUUUAGUA